ACUCGAGUGGCGAACGGGUGAGUAACACGUGGGUGAUCUGCCCUGCACUUCGGGGUAAGCCUGGGAAACUGGGUCUAAUACCGGAUAGGAGCCAUUUUUAGUGUGAUGGUUGGAAAGUUUUUCGGUGUAGGAUGAGCUCGCGGCCUAUCAGCUUGUUGGUGGGGUAAUGGCCUACCAAGGCGGCGACGGGUAGCCGGCCUGAGAGGGUGGACGGCCACAUUGGGACUGAGAUACGGCCCAG
rnacentral:rRNA from 1 species